UUUCCCUCCCUGAGAAAAUUCAAUUUGCUUCCUCCCUCCCAUUUUAGCCUAAAACGGUUGAGGUCCUCUCUCCUCUGACCUAAAUCGACCAUAACCCUCCACUCAAAUGGCCUCCACGAUUAUGCCCUAUGACAAUCGCACAUUUCUAGCAGAGCCCCGUAGCAGCCCUAUGACAUGUUGAUUUUGCCCGCUGAAACCCAUCUGUAAUUCUUCAUCGCAGUUGUUUGUCGUCGUUCUACCUUAGAAAUUGACCCCGACGAAUUACCUCUACUACAACCAUCGGCCUCAAUCGAAAUCUCUUGUAAGUUUGUUAAAGUAAAAUGUCCGAAGAUGCAUACCAACUGCUCGAUGCAAUGCUUUAACCAAAACGAUUUCUUUUUCACAUGCUUUUUUACUAGAUUAUGGAACUUUGAUAAUAUAUUUCUGUUGAUACUUGAAAUUCGUAAAUUCUUACAUGCAACCCUAAAAAGGAGAAGUCAUGAAUCUGUGUUGUUGGCGGUGAUAUGAACAGAAAUACGCUGCAACCUGUUGAAAGUUGUGGUUAUUAUGUUUUCUCCCAUGCUUUUUGGGACACUUUUAAACAAAUGAAGUUUCAAAGCAACGGGAUUACAUCUUAUAGAGGAUAUGAUUGUUUUGUUUCAGUUUUUAAGGUAAAUUUCACAGCUCUGAGCUCUUAAAAGUAUGAUGAAACUCAGCAAAACAUCAUUUGGUUCUUGAAAGUAACAGGAGAACUGGUUUAGUUUUUGAUGUAAAUAAGCAGCUGGCAUGAAGAAUCUCUCAAACAGGUAUGAUGGAGUUACUUAUAUGAAGUAUUUGGAUUCACUGAGAGUUUCUGAAGCUACUUAUAAAUUUACCUAUGAGCGACACCAUUAAGAAGUAUUUAUUAAUCAACUAAAUGCAGUGGAGGCAGAGGCACAAGUCGCUUGAGUGUAAGAUAUUCUUUCUACAGAACUUGAAAAGGCACAGAAGGAAUAUUACGCUACUGACAUAAUGACGUUUCACAAGAACCUCAGAAAUUAGCCGAUAUGUCAUACUCUGCACGUUAUAGGCUGCAGCUUCUCCGUUUGCAUUUUUGAAGAUCAUGAAAGGAAAAAAGUCGAGCUCGAAGUUAUGCAAAAAGAUAUUUGCAGCUAGUGAAAUAUUUUGGAAGCUAUGAUGCGAAAGGUUAUAAAACAAUUACCGGUUGAAGAUCUAGAGUAGAAUGUUUCCAUUUCUCUUCUUGUUAUUGACACUUUUUUGUUGACUAUAUCGAUUUGAGUUUAAUUUACAUGUAAAGUACACUAUUUGAUUAUCAAUGAUGUUUGUGUUUUUAUU